UGUAGCCAGAGCGCAGAAGCAUCCCUGACUCAGGCCUAACUAACACUCUGACCAGGUGCAGGGGCAAGAACUGAGUGUGCUGGGACAGAGAGUGGCCCACGAGGGGAGCUGGUCAAAGCUCAAGUCCUCAGAAGGAGAAAGAUAUCACCUGUGGGUAAGGACAGCCAGCUCAAGUCUCAGCAGGCAGGAGUGUGGUGAAGAACUUGGUUCUGAGCAGUGCCAGGAAGAUCUGAAGGUGCAGAAGCAGCAGGGCCAGCCCAGUCCAUGUCCUGCCCCAGUCCUGGAAGGAUAGAAGGAACAAGACCUAUACCCACUUGGCUGAGGUACCAUGGCCAGACUCUGCCUGAGCCUGCUGUUCCUGGUGGCCACUAUGACCCUUGUGUCCAGAGGUGUCCACACCGGGGGCAGGUCAAAGGUGGUGAGGAAGUUCCAAGACAUCCCAGAAAGUUAUGUCUAUGUGCAGCAGGCCCUGUGGUUUGCCAUGAAAGAGUAUAAUAAGACCAGCAAAGACAAGUACACCUUCAAGGUGGUAAAGGUCCUGAAAUCCCAGGAGCAGGUCACAGAGAGUUUGGACUACUUUCUUGAAGUCAAAAUUGCCCGAACAAUGUGCAAGAAAAUUUCAGGAGAAAAUGAAAACUGCUUAUUACAACAGGAUCCCCAAAUGCAAAAGCAACCAGAGGGCCCCUGUCAGGAGCCACAGUCAAGUCACUGGAAACCCCUAACCUCAACUCCUCAGCUUCCCACUUCCUGUCUGUCUCCCCUUGGCCAAACUCAACUGCAAGCCAGAGGGUGCCCAUUGAUGAGAUCUAUAAAAGUCACAGGGCAGAACGCCUAUUGACACAGACAGUGGAAGCUAUAGAGCAAGUGUGCUCAUUGGCAUAGCCCAUUGAAGUCAUUGGUCUUUCAAGACACUCCAGAUGUUUCUUUGCACAUUUAUUGUUGCAACCAAACCUUGGGAAUUUGAGUUCACUAUGCUGAAGAAACAAUGCGAAGAGGUCUAAUUAUCUUCUAGCAUGUUCGACUGUUUUCACUUCCAUUUUAAAGAAGCAAAUACACCUGCAAACCAUUUAAAUAAGCUGACCCACUGA